GCUCAAAACAGCCUACUGGUUAGCGCUUCGGACUUGUAAGCGGAGGGUUGCCGGUUCGAACCCCUUGAGCA
rnacentral:tRNA from 1 species